rnacentral:rRNA from 1 species
CAAUAGCGUAUAUUAAAGUUGUUGCAGUUAAAAAGCUCGUAGUUGGAUUUCUGGUCGGAGCGACCGGUCGGCGUCCUUUGUGGCGUGUGCACUGUUGUCGGCUCCGUCCAUCCUAGUGGGAAGGCGCGUGGCAUCGAUUUGUUUCGCGCGUGGCCCCGCUACGUUUACUGUGAAAAAAUUAGAGUGUUUUAAAGCAGGCGUUCGCUGUGAAUACAUUAGCAUGGAAUAAUGAGAUAGGACUUUGGUACUAUUUUGUUGGUUUGCGCACCAAGGUAAUGAUUAAUAGGGAUAGUUGGGGGUAUUCAUAUUCAAUUGUCAGAGGUGAAAUUCUUGGAUUUAUGGAAGAUGAACUUAGCGAAAGCAUUUUACCAAGGAUGUUUUUCAUUAAUCAAGAA